rnacentral:lncRNA from 1 species
AUAUUGUUUAAAUUUGAGCAGUCCUACAAAAGAUCCCACGGGAAUGACUCUUCCCACAUGAACAGCUUCCUUGCUGGCUGUGUCAUCAUCACCUUCUGCUACAGAGACCACAGAGUGUUUUGACCCAGUAUCUAUUCUUUCUUUCGGCCUUGAUCAUGUUGGGCAUUGUCAAAGAAGUGGAAGUGUGUAAAUUCUGG